UUUCUAUCAUAUUUUAUCUGGAGUGCAGUUUCUCUAAAUAAGAGACCGAAGCGCGUUGAUGAAAGCAAAAAGACGGAUCUUCAUAUGCAUUUUGG